UUGCUACUCCCUCCCUUCCGAAUUACUUGUUGCGGGUAUGAAUGUAUCUAGAUGUAUUUUAGUUUUAGAUACAUCCAUUUCUACGAUAAGUAACUUGGAACGGAGGGAGUAGUUG
rnacentral:pre_miRNA from 1 species